AUUGAACGCUGGCGGCAUGCUUUACACAUGCAAGUCGAACGGUAACAGGUUAAGCUGACGAGUGGCGAACGGGUGAGUAAUGCAUCGGAACGUGCCCGAUCGUGGGGGAUAACGCAGCGAAAGCUGCGCUAAUACCGCAUACGAUCUGAGGAUGAAAGCGGGGGACCGUAAGGCCUCGCGCGAUCGGAGCGGCCGAUGUCAGAUUAGGUAGUUGGUGGGGGAAAGGCUCACCAAGCCAACGAUCUGUAGCUGGUCUGAGAGGACGACCAGCCACACUGGGACUGAGACACGGCCCAGACUCCUACGGGAGGCAGCAGUGGGGAAUUUUGGGCAAUGGGCGAAAGCCUGAUCCAGCAAUGCCGCGUGCAGGAAGAAGGCCUUCGGGUUGUAAACUGCUUUUGUACGGAGCGAAAAGGCCCUCUCUAAUACAGUGGGCUCAUGACGGUACCGUAAGAAUAACCACCGGCUAACUACGUGCCAGCAGCCGCCGCCG
rnacentral:rRNA from 1 species